rnacentral:rRNA from 1 species
AUUGAACGCUGGCGGCAGGCUUAACACAUGCAAGUCGAACGAGUGGCGGACGGGUGAGUAAUGUCUGGGAACCUGCCCGAUGGAGGGGGAUAACUACUGGAAACGGUAGCUAAUACCGCAUACCAUUGGAUGUGCCCAUAUGGGAUUAGCUAGUGGGUGGGGUAACGGCUCACCAAGGCAACGAUCCCUAGCUGGUCUGAGAGGAGGACCAGCCACACUGGAACUGAGACACGGGCCAGACUCCUACGGGAGGCAGCAGUGGGGAAUAUUGCACAAUGGGCGAAAGCCUGAGGCAGCCAUGCCGCGUGUAUGAAGAAGGCCUUCGGGUUGUAAAGUGCUUUCAGCGGGGAGGCGUUACUCGCAGAAGAAGCACCGGCUAACUACGUGCCAGCAGCCGCGGUAAUUC